rnacentral:lncRNA from 1 species
UAGGUUUAGCUCAUACAAGGGAUAACAGUUCAGCUAAAAUUUGGAUAUUCUGGAAUGAUAAAUGGGAAUAAAUGGGUUUAACAGACUCAAUACAACAACUGACAAUGGAAUACAAGCUAAGGGGAAGAAAUGUCAGUUUCAAGAUCACAGUUGUGUAUGCUAGAUGUAGUAGCCUGGACAGACUGGAAUUAUGGGAAGAUUUGGAAGAUAUUGCAAUGAAUACUCAAGUUCCUUGGUUAGUUGGAGGUGAUUUUAACACUAUACUAGAUGAUUCAGAAAAACUAGGUGGGUUACCAGUGACACAACAGGAAAUAAGUGAUUUUUCUUAGUGUAUAGUUGCUUGUGCACUAAAUAAAUUGAAGUUUACAGGAAGAAUAUUUACAUAGUGGAAUGGCAGAAUUCAGGAGGAUUGCAUUUUUAAAAGAUUGGAUAGAGUUUUUGCUAAUAAUAUGCUUUUGGAGAUAAUACCAUACUGUGAAGUUCACUAUUUAAUCAGGCAGGGGUCAGAUCAUGCACCCCUUUAUGUUACCUAUAACACUGAUCAAGUUCAGGUGAAGAAGUCUUUUAGGUUCCUAAAUUCUUAUACCAAGCAUAAAGACUUUCAGAUGAUAGUGCAAGAUAGUUGGAAGGACAAUAUCAUGGAAUCCCCUUUUUAUUUAGUGCAUGAAAAAUUUGUGGUGUGGAUUAAAGAGAUUUAUGGUGACAUCUUUCAAAAAGUUGCAACUCUUGAGGAUAUGAUAAAGGAUAAGGAAGCUCAAUUCAAAAUCCAUCCAUCCCUUGAAAAUAGAGAGAAAUUGAGCAAGGCAGAGGCAAAUCUAAAAAGAAUGUUGAAGAUUGAGGAGGAGUUCUGGAAACAAAAGGCUGGGAUGAAAUGGUUUAAAGAUGGAGACAGGAACACUAAAUUUUUUCAUUCAUAUGUCAGAGGCAGUAGAAGGGAAAUACGAAUUGCAGAGAUACAAACAUAACAAGGGGAUGUUAUAACAACUCCACAUAAUAUUGGAGAGGAGGCAAUAAAUGUCUUCAAGGAGCAGUUUAUGGAAUUAUAGAAUUUUGUACAACAUGAGAUUCUCAAUUACAUCAACAAAACCAUUAUUGAUGAUUAGAAUAAAAGAAUGGAAAGGAUUCCAAACAAAGAGGAGAUUAAAUAGGUGGUUUUAUCUUUAAAUUGGGAGAGUGCAAGUGGACCAGAUGGUUUUUCAGGAAAAAUUUUCAGAGUUGCUGGAAUAUUAUUAAGAAAGAUAUCACUAAAUUGGUCAAAAUUUUCUAUAGUAGAAGUGAAUUACCCAGGUGUAGUACUCAUACCAAUUUAGUCUUAAUUCUAAAAAAGGAGAUAGUGAUACUUAUGGUGAUCUGAGACCUAUUAGUCUUUGUACUUUUGUUAACAAAAUAAUUUCUAAGGUAAUUCACUUGAGAAUUGUGAAAGUUCUGCCAAACAUAAUCUUUAAUAAUCAAUCUGGGUUUGUAAAGGGAAGAAGCAUCACUAAAAAUGUGCUACUUCCCAAGAAAUUAUUAGAGAUAUAAACAGAAGGAAUAAAUUUCAUAAUGUUGUGGUGAAAUUGGAUAUGAAAAAGGCUUAUGAUAGGGUCUCAUGUAAAUUUUUAGUGGUGGUUCUGAGGAGGUUUGGUUUCUCAAAAAGAGUGAUUGUUAUGGUAGUGAGGUUGGUUAGUAAUAAUUGGUAUUCGGAGCUUAUGAAUAGGCAAUCAUAUGGUUUCUUUCAAUCAUGAAAGGGUUUGAAGCAGGGUGAUCCAUUGUCACCAACUUUAUUUAUCAUAUCAACUGAAGUUCUAUCAAGAAGCUUAAAUGAACUCUUUAUUAAUUCGGAAUUCAAAGGGUAUAGUAUGCCAAAGUGGAGUCCUGAUAUUAAUCUUCUAGCUUAUACAGAUGACACUAUUCUAUUUUGCUCUAGACAUACUUACUCAAUUAAGAAGAUGAUGGGGGUUUUGAGAAGAUAUGAGGAAGUCUCGGGACAGAUGAUUAACCAUGAAAAAAGUUUGAUUUAUUUUCAUAGAAGAUUCCUAAUAGAGUCAGCAGCAAGAUAAGGAGGAUUACUGGAAUAAGACAAGGUAAAUUCCCUUUUACAUACUUAGGAUGUCCUAUUUUCUAUGGCAGAAAGAAUAAAGGACAUUUUGAAGAAUUGAUCAAGAAGGUAACUAAGAGACUUCAUGCUUGGCAGAAUAAAUAACUUUUUUAUGAGGGAAGAUACAACUUAAUUGAUCAUGUCUUACAAUCCAUUCCCAUCUACACUUUCAGCCAUGAAUCUACCAAUUAGUGUCAUCAAUCAGCUUCAUAAGAUUUUUGAAAAGUUUUUUUGGGGUAAUGCCACAGGAGCAAAGAAUAAAUAUUGGGUGAGUUGGGAGAAAAUAUGUCACCCAAGGAAUGAAGGAGGACAGGGAUUUAGAUCUUUGCAUGAUAUGUCCAAAGCUUUAUUUGCAAAACUUUGAUGGAUAUUAAGAACUUCAACAUCUUUACUUUGGUUUCAUUCAUGUGGAAUAAGUAUUGUAAAAGAUUACAUCCUUUAAUCACUAAAGGAUUUAGAGCCUCUUAUGUAUGGAGAAAAAUGAUUUUGGUGAGUGAAGAGGUGGAAACUAAUAUAUGGUGGCAAGUAAAGGCUGGCAACUUAAGCUUUUUGUAUGAUAAUUAGAAUAAACAAGGAGCUCUAUAUUAUGUAGAAGAUGAGAAUAUUCAAGAUGAGGAAAUUGAAAUUAGAAAUUUUGUCAAAAAUGGAUAUUGGGACAGACAGUUACUCUUAUUAGCUAUAUCUGAAAAAUGGUGGAUCUUAUUGUGUAAAUAGUAAAACCUCCAGUGAAAGGGUUUCAAAAUGAUACUUCCUAGUGGAUGGGAAAUACCAAUGGUCUUUUUACUAUCAAGUCUGCCUGGAACUGUAUCAGGAAAAGAAAAGAGAAAAGAAGAGAUUAUGAGUUCAUUAGGAAUAAAAAGUUUCCUUUUAAAUACAACUUCUUUCUUUCGAGGGUGUGGAUCAGAAGAAUUCCAACAGAUGAUAAUCUAAAGAGAAUGAAAAUUUAGUUGGUAUCAAGAUAUUGUGCUGUGACUCUAAAAAUGAGGAGACAAUGGACCAUGUUUUACUAACAGCCUCUGUAGUCAAUAGGCUUUAGAGGCAGUUUUGCUCAUUUUACAGGUAUACAUAUGGAGAACAUGCAACUAAAGCAAUCAAUUGUGUCAGGGUGGAAUAAGGAAUCCAAUCCAAAACUGACAAGGAUUUUCAAAGCAUUACCAGCCAUAAUUAUGUGGACAUUAUGGAGGAGAAGAAAUUGCAUAAAACAUGGAGGCUCUAUGUCGUUUACAAGGCUGGUAGAACAAGUACAGGAAGUGAUUAAGAAGAUGAUUAAUAGCUUAUUUCCUUGGAUUAAAAUAAAUUCACAGACAUGGCCAGAGGUAGUUGAAAUAUUAGGAGUUUACAAACCUAAGAUCCAUUAUCAUAAGGUAGUAUGGUCAAAGCCAGGAGUUGGAUAGGUUAAAUACAACAUAGAUGGAGCUAGCAAGGGCAAUUCGGGAUUGAGUUCUUAUGGCUUUUGUAUUACAGAUGACAAAGGUGACUUGAUUUAUGCUAGAGCUAAAGGUUUGGGGGUUUGUACUAACACCAUAGCUAAAGCUUUGUCUAUCAAGAAGGCUUUGGAAUACUGUCAUGAAGUAAACCUUAAGGAUUUUGGUAAUACCCCAAUUUUCUAAACCGAAAUGCUACACGGUGCUCAUGACCCCAAAGGACCACAAGCUAACCCAUGACUGAUAUCUGUACCUGUAUACUACAUAAAAUACUAAAAAAUACAUAAACAUGUACUAAACGGCCAUAAGGUUUAAAUCUAAAUAAACAUCAGAUAUGAACAAUGUCUAAAAGUGAUAUAACAAUACCAAAACAAAUCUGAAAUAACUGUCUGACAUGCUAUAGUCUUAAAGACUCUAAACUGUCUGAAUAAGGAGUUGAUGGAAUAUGUCCCCAACUAACUCCAUCUACUAAAAUAAUUAAGUACUGAAAGAAUGAACUAAUCAAAUACUAUUAUCCUCGAAUGAUGAGGACUUACUGCUAACUCUGUCUGCUGAAAUCUGAAAUACUAUUGAUGCUCUGGAGCUCGUUCUUCUAAACCUAUGGUAUAAGACACUAUAGCACAAAUGCUUCAGUACUUUGAAUGUACUGGUAUGCAAGUAAGGUAGGCUAAAUUCAAAGGGUUAUAUGAAUGAACAAUGCUGACUGAUAUGAACGUGAGAAUACAUACAUACAUAAGUGAAUGUAACUAAACUCGUGGUGAUACUGACUACGGAGUCUGAAUAUUGACAACAUGAGCUUACUGAUACUGAGAUACUGAUUGAUUGAUUUUACUGAUAUUAAUAUGUAAGUCACUUAUAAGUAGGCAACUAAUACUAUAUUGUUGAAUACUAAAGGACUGAAAUUAUAUUACUGAUACAUGAAUAACUAUUUCUGAUAGUUCUAAUUAUGAAGAACUGGCAUGGUUUACUGUAUCUGAUAGUCUAAUUAUAAAGAAUUAAUUUGAUUGAUUGUAUCUGACAGCUAUGAAUAUGAAGAAUUGAUAUGCUUGACCGUAUCUAAUAGUCCUAAAUGUGAAUACUGAUAAUAUGAGUUUUGAUAACUGAUAACAUUAGUGACUGUAUCUGACAGUCCUAAAUCUGAUGGAACUAACUGAGUUCCGUACUAUAUCUGAGUUAACUGUAUCUGACAGUCAUAAAAUUUGAAGGACUAUCUGAGUUCUUUUACUGAGACUGAGAAUGAAAAUGAAACUGAGACUGUGGGAAGUAGCCAUCUAACUGACAUGCCUUGAAUCUGAACUGGUGGGGUUCAACCUAUAACUCCAGCUGGAAGGGUAUCAAUACCAUGCCACGAGUAGAGACAACAUGUGAGUAAACCCUAUUCUGUUUAGGAGCUCUUUUCGUCUUCCCUUACUAUCAGGUAAACUCAAAUGAGAUGUAUUAUCCCUAUGUGUAGAGACAUCUCAACCUACGCUGGCUACGUAGUUCUGGAACUUAGGGAUUGCUUCUAGGGAUCUCAGUCCUAUCUAGCAGGUGAGUCCCCAUCCCUAGGCUCACUCGAUGCUGAAUCCUACUCCCAACUGAAGGACACUGAACUGAUUAGCUGAGCUGAACUGAUUAACUGAAUUAAAAUGAUUAGCUAAACUAAUGUUAGUGGGAUUAUUUAGUGGAGCUAAAUUGAGUUUACUAAGUUUCGUUGACUGACGGAAUGUACUGAUGUAUGAGGAUUAACUGAGAGUACUGUAGUUAUUGAGUUUUACUUGGAAUACUUCUGAAUUCUACUUUCUAUCUGAAUAAGGCUGAACUUUACUAGCUGAUGAGGUUACUGAGGUUCUAAACUGAAUACUUACUGAGACAUGAUAACUAGCUGAGAUUACUGAACUACUGAAACUACUGAGAUUUCUGAGUUUUCCUGAGUGACAUGACUAACUGAAUUCUAUGGAUCAUGGCUUGACUGAGAGUAUCGUGAUAACAUGACAUGGCUCUGGGCACACAGCUAUAUUUUUUGGGUAUGAGUACCCCCAGAACUCGAUGGAAGGAAACUAACAAACAUGAAUUUCUUUAAUGCAUGACCAACAUCAACAUUCCAUAAUAUCAUAACUUGGGAAAUUUCAUGAAGUACAUGGUUAUCAUACAUCUUUUACAUAAGUGGGAUUCUUGCAAGUAAGUAUAGCAUAAUCUCAUAAGACUAGUUCAUGAACAAUCCAACAACAUUUACAAGACACAAUAUCAACAUGAAAAUCAUUGGAGCAUAGGGGCAUAUCAUGAAUCCUUUACUUAGUCACAAUUUAGCUAUAUUGCAUGAUAUCUAGUUUCUUAGGCAUUUUAUCAAGCACCUUACAUGCACAAUUUUGGGCAUAGGUAUAUUUAUCAACAUAACAAUCUUAAUCCAUCUAAAAUUCAUGGGUACAACUAUCCUACUCAUAUGCUUCAUGAAAACAUAUCAAGAUACAACCUUGAACUAAAAUAAUAAUCAUCAACAUGAAUAUAGUCAUAACACAACAAGAAAAUCACAAUUUAUAAUUUAAAAUAUGAUUCUUGAGCUCUAUGGAUGAAAGGUAUCCAUGGAUGAACACUACGAAUACUUUAAAGCUUGAUCUUGAAAGAGAUCUAAUGUUUCUUGGAGGUUCCUGAAGAAAUCCUUAGGCUUGCUCUUGAUUUUUCUUGACUAGGGUUUAACCCCUUUUGGAGUGAAUGUUCUUGUUCUUGAGGAGAUGAUCUUGAGAGAAAACCCUAAUCUUGUGGUUGAGAGUGUAUGCAAGAAUUUUUGAGAUGUUUAACUGAAGAAAAAUAGGAGAAAGUUACGUCCCUUGAGGGUUUUAAGUCGUGGAAAGUGAAGAAAAAGAUCAAAAUACCCUUACGAAACCACUUCCUAAUUGCUGAAUUUAUCAGCUGACAACCAAGGUUGAUAAGCCGUCAAAUCCUUGAUAGCCCGUCAGCCCAGGUAGUCACCUGGGAGCUGAAAUUUUUGGAUUUCUGCCUAGGCCUGAAGACAUUCGUGAUAAGCCGUUAGGCUUGUGAUAAGUUAUAAUAAAAUGUCGUCACUCAGUUUUCGAGCCUGAUAUGCUGGAGUAAAAUGGGCAUAACUCUUUGCUAUGAUAUCGAAUUUAGGAAAAAUUGGUAUCGUUGGAAAGAUAAUUCAACUAUAUAUAUUUUAGUAGGUCAUGAGCACAACAAUUCGAAGUAUAAAGAGAUAUAUUCUCAUUUGAAGUUGACUAUAGCAAUAUCCUUCCCAAGAAUUCAAUCGGUAAGGAAUGUUUUGAUUCGUUUGAUAGUUGGGAGUUAUUUGAAGACUUAAUAUACAUCUAACUUGCUCAUAAAAUUAUGACAAAAUCAUGAUGUAAUAUACGUGAGCUUGAAACAUGGCACUAAUAUUGGUUUGGACUUUUCGGAGUAUUAUAAUUUUAUACUGGAAACAAACUCUUUAUGCCUUAAAAAUAUGAUUUCGAAGCAAUGGAAAAUUCCCUGGGAAGUUGCUGAAAUUAUGGAAAACAUCAAAAAUUUUGUUCAUGUCCUUAAUAUUACAAUUUCUCACAUUUUCAGGGAAGGGAACACAGUUGCUGACUCACUAGCAAAUGAGAUUAUUGAAUCACAAGGACAAAAGGACUAACAUGUUUUUCAACAACUUCCAACACAGAUAAGGAAAUAAUUAAACAUAGAUAAAUACCAAAUUCUACAACUUUGAAUCAAGACUCGUAGGAUAGUGCAACAAUGAAGAUAGAUAACAGUAGUUAUUUACCCCAUAAAACUUUAACAUCAUUCACAAGUCAUCAAGCAAGAAGUAAAGGAAAGAAACAACACAGAAGAGUAAGUUUUAAUGUAUGCCCGAAAGAAGGAAUGAGAUCUGUGUUAAGCAAAGUUAGAUGUACUACACUAGCUAUAAAUUCUACACCAAAAAGUGGGGAAGAUAUCCAGCAUCUUCAACCAACAUAUGGACACAUCUGGGUGAACUGGAGAGAAUCUGAUCGUACAUGGUCAAAACCACAUAAAGAUGAGUGCAAGAAAUUACAGAAAAAGCUAAAAAUGAAGACAAGUCAGAGAGAGAUUCAAGCACCUGAUGAGAGUGAGGUACAUAAGUAGAGCAGUAGCAAAAGUAGCAAUGGAUUCACUCGAAACAUCACCUAAAAGAGGAAGACAUGUAGCUGGAGUUCCAUCAGCAACAUUGUUGAAGACGGCGAUGAGCUUCAAAAAAAAGUACUUAGUACUUUUGUAUUAGCCUUUUAUCUAAUAGAAAAAUUAGGAAACCUUUUCAAUUUCCAAUUUUCGGACCCAAUCUUGGAUUGGACCAGGUCCUUUUUUGUGCUUUGGAUUUUUGUAAACUUGGCCAAUGGGCUUCUUAUUGAUAAAAUGGUCUAAAAGAUCAACAAAAAUUCAUCUAAAAAAAAACUAAUUCUGGUCGGGAACCACAUUUGUGAAUUCUCAAUGGUGCCUAAUCCCUUCCCUUUGGAAUAAUUUGAACCCUUAUCUGGAAUCUAAAAUAAUUUUGUAGACUAAAAUAAAGUCAGACUUGUUAAUAAAUAAAUAGGUUUCCUUAUUUUUCUUAAAAAUUAGGUGGCGAAUCUGUACAAAUUAAUUCUUUUUAGAGUCCAUAAUGUCGUGCUAGUUUUGAACUUAGGUAAAAAAUGGGUAUGACAGUUUGGCGACUUUGCUGGGGAUUGCAAUGUUCUAACCAUUACAGAUUUAGGUAAAUAUUUUUAAUUUUUCGACAUUAUUGUUUGUUUCUUUCUAAUUGACUUGAUUUAUCUUGUUUGUAUGGCAAAAAAUUGUUAUUUGUUUUAUAUAGCUUAUUUACUUAUUUAUUGCUUUAUAUAAACUGUCAUUCCGUUCAUAUUUUUUCCAUUUGGGAAAGCUGACACAAUCACACAUACAAGUGAGGUGUGUUUUUCGCACCCGUAAAUUUCUUUCAAAAUCCUAAAGUUUAGGAGAGUUGGUGUAUGUGCGGGGUGUUCAAAUCUUUUUCUGUGUGCCCAUGUAGCCUUCUCACUUGUGUAGUCUGCUCGACUCACUCUUAGUCGAACAUAGGAUAAAGUUAAAACAACAACUUUUAGGCACAUGCAUCAGUAGUCAACUUUAUGUUCUAAGGGUUGACAAUCCACGUGACACAUUAUUAUAGUCUUUGUACAUAUUUGAAGGAUUAUUGUAUCUGUACUUAUUCAUUUGUUCUAAAUUGUUUAUUCUUUUGUGGGAAGGCAUAACCUAAUCUUUGUUUUGCAUGGUUGAUCAGUUAAAAGAUACACCUUACCAACAUCGCCACUAGUUACGUAUGAGUUUGAACUACGUUUUGACCUGAUUCUUGUCCUGAAAAGAUACGUAGGCAACCCUGCAUUAGGGUUUGAUCUCUUCACUAUUUUAGAAUAAUUUCUCAGGUAUUCAAACUGGAGCAAUUUUCUGAAACAGUUCAAAGACGCUCUCCAAAAGCCUUCAAGAACGCAAUUUAAUAUCUCCUCAAAUCCAAAUCACAUUAACAUUAGUGCCAAUCCAACCUAUCUCCAGAUCUUCACCCGAUUUUGAUGUAAGAAUAUCUAGCUUUUUCUUUCGAACGUCGUAAACCAUUAAAUUUAUGACGUAUCAAUCCUCACUUUCAAAAGCAAGAGUUCAAUAUUUUUUCAGUUAUAAUAAUUCUGCCAACUGCGGUGAAAUAAGGCCAUAAUUUCUUCAAUAGAUCUUUUUUAGUUUUGUCAGCAUAUUAAAGUUGUGUUAAAGCUCUCCCCAUGCUUUACAUCCACUCUUUUGAUUAUUUGAUCAGAACAAUUUUGAUGCAAAAAGUAAUUCUUUUCUGAUCUUCUUUCACAUUAUUUUUAUGAAUAACCAUUAAUUUAUUUUACAAUCAUACAUUGUACAUAUAAAUUUGCAAAUUUGCCCGAACUACACAGAUCUGAUUCUUGUUUCACAACACAAGAUACGUAGGCAACCCUCAUUUGAGUUCGGUCCAAUUCUUUUUUAAAAAAUAAAAAAAUUGACUUGGUUAGUACCAAUACAGUUAGGAGUAUGCAUGAUGUCGCGCCUCAUUUUCCUCGUAGAAAGAGGUAUUCGACGUGACCACUCUUUUUGGGAUUAUUUUGAAGGUAGAGUGUGAAAAGUCACCACCUAACGAAUUAAGGUGCGUUAGGGCACCGGUUUAGACUACUACGAACCUAUUUUUAUUGUUUAGUCUUAGUUCACUAGAGUUUGGGUAAGGUUUAAAAUUACUUCGAAAGGAAGGAGUUAGGCACCUUUCGAGCUCCACAAAAAUGGUUCCCGGCCGAAUUCAUACUUUACGUGGGGAUUCUAUGUGAUCAAAUAAGGCUUCUUGUUUUAUUAUUAAUUUAAUGUUAACUAAGUGGUAAAGUAAUGAAUAAACAAGCACAAGUCAUUUUAUUCUUCCUAAUUAUUAAUUAUCUAAGCAAUAAAAAUCAGUGAAAUACGUAAAUAAGACAAACAAAGGGAGAGAGUGAUAUAAAUUAUAACAAAAAUUAUUAAGCAAGGGAAAAAAUUUAAACUACCCCAAAUAAAUAAAGAAAUAAGAAAAAUACACAGUAACUAACUUAUUUUGAUAGAGAACUAUAUUCAAAACUUGAAAAAUAAAGAGUUAUUGUUUCUUAAAAAAAAUGUUUAUUGCUUUAUAGAAACAACGCCACGAUACCAUUAAUCGCGCUCAUUCAACUUAGCAACAAUUUUAAUUAGAGGUUAGUUUUAAGUGAAAAUAAUAAAAUUAUAAUUUUAAAGACAAGUGAAAAAUAAACAAAAAAAACAUUUAUGUAUGUAUGCAUAAUCUCUGCUUUUUGAAACUUUUGGUACGUAGAGCUCCCAAAACUGUAACAAAUUAAUUUAGGAUAUGAAGAUCUGACCCCGUGAUUCUUUUUACUUUCCCGCUAACUAUAGGUUAGGAGAUAGUACAAAGAGUAAAAUGUCAUGUCUAUUUUAAAUUGUGAAAGUCAAAACCGCACAAUGACUUUGAUACAGAAAUAAAAGUCUUUUUUUUUGUUAAAUACGUAGAUACUGAAAAUUAUUUUACUAAGUAGAAAUUAAUGAAACAUACGAAAACAAAAAUAGGAAUGCUGAAAAUUAAUUAUAAUGUGCCAAAAAUAUUAUUUUAAAAUGCUGAAAAUUAAUUUUAAUAUGCAAAAAAUACUAUUUAAGGUGCUGAAAAUAUUAUUUAAAAUGCCAAAAAUGUUAUUUUGAAUGCUAUGAGUAUAAUUGUUGAAAGGGUGAUUUAAAAUGCUAAGAAUGUCAUUUAUAAAAUGUCCGCAAUUGUUAAACAUGCAAAAGUCAAUAAACAUGUUGUAAAUUAAGUUGCCAUAUUCAAAUGUGAAUUAACAAGGCAAGUAUUAAUUAAACUCCUGAAAACAAGAUUUCUAGGCGGAUCAACUAAUAAGUCGUAAAUUAGAUAAAUCCUAAAUUAGAUUUGCCUAAAUGACAAACAAGUCAAGUAACAAAUCCUAAAUUUAUUUUCCUAAGUGAUUCACAUGGUACGUAAAGCACAUAAACCCCCGCUUCCUAGCAGUUUCCAUAAUUUAUUAUUACACAAAUGUUUAUACAACAUAUUAGUUCAAAUUUAAAUCGCAAUAAAAGAGAAAUAGAAAGUAAAUUAAGGCGAGAUAUCCCUGAAGGUGGCAACAUUUUAGCACAACUUGACCAAAGCACCUGCUCGAACAUCACAAAAUACACAAACAAGUUGUACGGUGCACGAAUUCUCAAAUUGAUCGAAUAAAACAUGAUUCCAAUCACAAAAGACAUCAAAACAAAACAAUUCAAGCAGUCACAAAAGUGACAAUGUGUCAUCAUGAAAGGAGUUUAGGAAUGCGAAAAAUUAAAUAAGAAAACUAACCGGUUAGGUGAAGUAAUAUGAAAAUAAAAUCAGAAUAUUGCAAUAAAGAGAGCAACUACAGUUCGAGAUUGAACCAAGUGUUUUGGAAGCCGCGAGCAAAAAAAUUUUGUUCCUCUUAUCUUGUUUUUGUAUAGAGUGUAUGAGUAUGAUAAAAGCUAUAGAGUGUGAGUUGUCUCAAUAAUCAAAAAGGUUGUUGUUUAUAUAGUAAAAGAAUCAAGACAAAUAAAGAAAAAGGAAUAUCUUUUGUCAAUCAAUUAAGAAAAUAAUAAAAUCAGUCGAUCAAUCAAUGAAAUUUUCCCUAUAAAUAUCACACUUCAUAUUAACAGUCAAAAUAAAUAAAAGGAAGGAAAAAUAUCAAUCAAUUCAAAUUUACUGUCUAACAUGCUUACAAAUUAAGGCAAAUCAUUAAGAGUAUGUAAAUAACUACAAAAAAAAGGAGAAUCGUUAAUUUGGCAAAAUCUUUUUAGAAGUGUCAGAAUCAAUUUACAUAAAAUUAAUCAAUCUAAAAAUAGGAAAAAUAUUCAAUCAAUGGAAUUAAUUAUUCAAAUCACCAGAGAAGGAAAAAUAUAUUACCAAGCCAUUCAUAGUGAAACCAAAUAAUUUUAACAUUGGUGUAAAUAACAUCAGUUCAAUAUCAAUCACGCGUAUGAAUUUCAAGUAAACAACAGUAACAAUACUCAUCGGCAUACCCAAAAUUAUGAUACGUAAUAACGAGGAAUGAAUUCAAUAAGCCAUGAGCACCUUUUCGAUGCAAAAUUAGGUCUAAUAGUAAUCCAUAUGUUAAUUAAAGAAUGUAAGCAAAUACGAAAUUGGAUUAAUCAAAAAUCAAAAUCAAAUAUUACUAAUUUCAAAUUCAAUAAUCUAUCAAAGAAAAGAACGAGAAGAAGAUAACAAUGUUAGUUUGGGACACAAAAUUAAAUGGGGUACAAACUUGGACGAAUUCGCUAUGAAUCUGUCGUGUUUCGCCGAUGAUGAAUGGAAAUGGUGACGGCUGAGAAGCGGACCAAUAGUGGUCCUUUGGGCUGGCGGCUGUGUUGUUGUUGUUUUUUUGUCGGCGGUAUGGGUGGCUAGAGAAGCGGAGGCUGGGGCGUCUGACAGGGGCUGAAGUAGCGAUGGAAACUGAAAACUAGACAAUGUAUUUGUAAAAAAUGUGAGUGUGCAUAGUUACGAAUAAUUUAAUAAAAUUAUGUAAAAAUAUCGUAUUUGAGUUUUAAAAUUAUAAAAAUUAUGCUAAAAGAAAAUAAAAUAGUUUUUGUGAAUUUUUCUAAAUUAUGAAUGUGAUACGUCAAUAUGUAUUUAAUAUAAGAAUAACGUGUAAAAAUAUUAAUAAUCAAAAUUAAAUAAUUUUGAUAAGAUAGCAGCCUAAAAGAGCAUCGGGUGGUCAAAAUUGGGUAUCAACACAUGAGAAAGAACAAACUGGUAUGAUGUAAAGGAUUGAUUUCAUGGUAAACCAUAGAUUAUUUUGGUACCUUUUAUCACACCUGAGCAACACUUGAAAAAUUCUCUUGCAUACAUCUAACGCAAGAAUGAAGUCAACCUCGUUGUUUUAUGUGCAUUGUGUGGUGAGUUUAGUUUAAUUCAUUGCAUUGCAUCGUUGAUCUAAAACCUGUCCUAAAUAUCUGUUGAGACGACAUUCUGAGUUGCACUUGGUUUAGGAAAGGAUUGUAGGCCUUCUUUGAUCUGAUUGUGCCUUUUAUAGCCUACCAAAUGACAUUAAUCCCUAGCAUUCCCUCUUUUGAGCCUAAAACCUUUUCUUGGACAACCGCAUCUGAACCUAUACCUUUUUGAGUGCUUAUAUGCACUAUCCCUGUUUCGCCCUAUCUCCUUAAGCGCACUAAAUACGUGCAAAUUACGAACGAAGAUUCAAGUUUAAAGACACAAAAUGCAAAGAAUAUAUCAUCUCAGAUGAAAAAAUGAAAAAAAUGACUUCAAAUAAAACAAAAACCCCACAAAAAAAAAGAGAAUGAAAAAAACAUAUAGUUUCUUAGAGAGGAGAAACUCUAACACAAGAUUCAAAAGAAGCCGAAGCAAAUACAAAACAAGGGGCAACAUAGCACAACUAGGAAGAUCACGCGUUAAAGCACAACAAAUUUUGAAAACACAGAUAUAAUGCAACGCUUAUUGAGAAAUUAGUCACUUUCAUCUCAAAUUUAUCCUACCUGCCUGAUGCCCACAUUACAAGCUAAUAACAAGUCCUACAGGAUUCUAUUCCAAGCAUUCUCACAUUAGUGGAUACUUACAUGAAGGUCAAGUCUAUGGUAUCACAAUUGCAUACAUUGAUAUUCUUUCUGAGUAUGAGUGUAUUUCCCUAUAUGUCCCCAAAUUCAAAAAGAAAAAUUACUCAAAUAUGUGCGAAAUGGGACUUUUUUUCAGGAGAGGGCACUUGAAGCAUGAGGAUAGGCAUUGCUCGAAACAUUUUUUUGAAGCAAGACAAAAAGUCUUGUCGUUUCUUAGGCGUGUUUGAGGUACCAUUUGAAACUAUAGGAGUGACCCUGAAGUCAAUCUCGGUUAGCUGGAAAAGAGAUAAGGGAAUCCUUAUGUAUACUACUAAUUAUUGGUACUAAUUGAAGCCAAGACAUGAUUGUGUCUUCUUCAUCUUUCAGCAUUUUUUACCAAGAAAAUGCAAAAUUCUUUCUUUCUUUUUUUUUUCAAGAAGCCCACCUUCAAAUACGGCCAUUCUUUUUUUAAAUUUCAUUCAAGUUGCCCACUUUCACAUACAUGCAUUUUACUUUUUAUUAAAGGCGCCCAGUUUUGAAGUACGGGCAUUUGACUUUUUCUUUCAAGCAUAUACCUUUAAAUAUCGAUAUUUUAUUUUUCAGUCAAGCACCCAUUUUUGAGUAUUUUUAUAUUUUUUAUAGCCCCUCCAAUCGAGAGCCUAUUACAUUUGUUUUGUAGUCUAGAGCCUUUUACAUUCCAAUAGCCCUAUCAGUUGAGAGGCUAUUGAGGGCCUUAGUUUUCAAAGACAAUCGGAGAUGGAAAUCACCAUCAUUCUUCGUAACAAUCAGAGACGUCAUACAUUUUUUCAAGACUUUUUCUUUCUUUUCAGAUAAUAUUAACCAUAGAUCAUACACUAGGGCAAAUUUUGAGAACCACCUCAACAAUUUAUUCUAUUUUCUCGUAUCAAACUACAUUGACUUGAUUCUCGUAACACUCAAGAUGAGUAGGAUGCUCUAUGUAGAGUUCGGUCAGCACAAUCCAUAAUCAUUCUUUCUCCCCAUCAAGUACACAAUCUUGCAUCCCCCAAUAUCUCAGAAUUUGAUAGUGGGACAAUUUUGAAAGUAGCAUUAGAAAUAAGUGAACACUUUCCUUCCCAAAUAAUUCUUUGCUAAAUAUUCAUUUCGUGGCUCUGUCCAUCCUAAAAUAGGACAAAUUGGGUUGGUUUGCCCUCAAAAAGACAGUUAUGCAUGUUUUUCUUUAGUUAAAUACUUAUGUUUGCUUGCCGUUACUUGCAUGUAUCGCACUGUAUUUAUUUCAUUUACAUUACAUGUUAUCUUUGUCUUUACUUGCACGCACUACAAUGCAAUUAUUUUAUAGUUUAAGCACUAUAGUCUAUCUUUACCUUUACUUGCACGCAUCGAAAUGCAUUUAUUUUAUUAUUUUAAGCACUGCAUGUUAUCUUUGUCUUUAUUUCCAUACAUCGCAAUGCAUUUAUGUUAUCCUUUAAGCACUCGCAAUACAUUUAUUUUAUUAUUUAAGCACUGCAUAUCACCUUUGUGUUUACUGGCUCAUAUCACAAUGCAUUUUGUUAUUUAAGCAUUGCAUGUCUAGCAAAUAUCGCAAUGCAUUUAUUUCAUUAUUUAAGCACUACAUGUCAUCUUUGCCUUUACUGACGCAUAUCACAAUACAUUUAUUUUCUUGUUUAAGCACGACACGCAGAUAUUGUAAUGCAUUUAUUUUAUUAUUUAAGCACUACAUGUCAUUUUUGCCUUUACUGGCUCAUAUCGCAAUGCAUUUUGUUAUUUAGGCACUGCAUGCCUUGCAAAUAUCGCAAUGCAUUUAUUUUAUCAUUUAAGUACCACAUGUUAUUUUUGCAUUUAUCUGGCACAUAUUGUAAUGCAUUUAUUUCUAAUAUUUUAACACUGCACGCAUAUAUCGCAAUGCAUUUUAUCAUUUAGGCAUUGCACGCCUCACAAAUAUCUUAAUGCAUUUAUCUUAUUAUUUAAGCAUUGUAUGUCAUUUGUCUUUACUGGCACAUACCGCAAUGCAUUUAUUUAUCAUUUAAGCACUGCAUUUUAUCCUUGCUUUUACUUGCACACAUCGCAAUGCAUUUAUUUAUUUUAUCAUUUAAGCACUGUAUGUCAUCUUGGCAUUUACUUGCGCAUAGCAAUGCAUUUUUUUUUAUAAUUUAAGCACUGCAUGUCAUCUUUACGUUUACUUGCACAUCGCAAUGCAUUUAUUUUGUUAUUUAAGCACUGCAUGCUUUGUCUUAACCUACACAUAUUAAAAUGUAUUUAUUUUACCAUUUAAGCACCAAAUGUUAUAUGUGCAUGUACUAUUUUUUAAGCACUGCAUGCUAUUUUUUAAUUUUUUUUUAAAAGAAAAAAAUAAGAAGAAAAAAUCAAGCUUAAUUUUUCGUUUGAAUUUUAUUGAUCAUUACUUCUUAGUUUGAUGCAUUUGCAAGCAUAUAUUUUGAGGACAUUGAGUUCGUCCAUUCUAAAAUAGGACAUAUUGAGGUAGCAACUCUAAAUUAGAGUUCCCUCAAUUUUUUUAAUCAAAAAUAAUUUUUUGUCAAGAAAAAUUGGCUACACGUUAAUAUUUUCGUCUAAAGACUUCUAUAUUGUCUUCAAACGAAAAGGGGCAAACUGUUGACACCCAAUUUUGGCUCUUCAUACUUAAAUUUAGCACUUUUAGGCUUUAUGAUCGUUAAAGUACAUAAAAUAUAAUUUUUCACACUUUUUGUUUAUAAUUUUUUAGCAAAUUAACGAUAAUCAUCAUUUUUUAGAAUUUAUUAUCAUAUUUUAACUUUGCAUAAUUUAUUGAUAAUUAUCCUUAAUUUCGUAAAUUUUAGAAUUUUUAUUAAUUUAUUAUCAUUUUAAUAUUUUUGCAUAGUCAUUUGCAUAUGUACAUAGCAUAACACUACAAUUCUUUCUUACAUAUUAUAAUUUUAAAUGUUUAUAGCGUAAUAUAGUUUUUAGAUGAUUUUGUUAUAUUUGUUGUUUUUAUUUUUCUGUGAUUAUACAUCGACAUUCAUAUUUUUGUACAUUAUUUAAUACGAUCUGCAAAUGUAGCUGACUUAAUUAUUUUAAAUACACAGAGCAAUAAAUUAAUCAAAUCAAAAUCAUGUCAACUUUUUUUAAAGAUGACAAUUGACAUGACUAAUUAGAUCUUUUACCCUUUAGUCAAAAUACUACUACUAUUUAAUAGUUAAAAUGGAUAUAUUUUUUUGGUUAAUAAUGGACUCCACUUUUUAUUAUAAGUAAAAUGGGAGGGCUAAUUAUUUAAUACACACACUACACGCACAAACACACCAAAAAAAUAUCAAUCUCUCUCUCCUUUCUCUUCUCUCCCUUUUCUCUCAAAAUCAAACUGUCGCCCACCACCCCUACCACCGUCGGAGUCCGAUGAAACCUUUACCACCACGUCACCCUCUCUCCCUUCAUCUUCUCUUUUCUGUCGCAUCUUACUGGAUGUGACAACCGAUAAGCUGCCUCCGGCCACCACCAUUACUGUCGCCUCUUUUCCUUUCCCUUCCCCAUUUUCUUUUUCAUUGCUUCUUCGCCAAAAGUGAUGACCGGCAAAUCUCCCCAACGAGCAGCCACCACUAUGGCUAGUUUUCCUCACCCUUUUCUCGUGUUUCCAUCGCUGCCUCAUUGAAAUUGAUGGCCAGCAAGCUCCCAAAGCAUCACUACCGCCACUGCUUUACCAGACAUGGCCAGAUCUGGGCAAGAUUUCAUUUCUCCGGCGUGGCUUCGAUGAAUACCUUUAACGCAAUGCCACCAACAAUCUUUGUUGUCUCCGAUUUUGUUAUUUAUUUGGUUACUAUGCUUUAUUUUCUUAAAAUAGAUCUAUGCAUUUCUUGUGCUCUAACGAUUCUUGACUGAUUUUGGGUUGUCUUUCAAUAUUUUUGGUGGCCUUGAAUUUUCGAGCAUCCUCUUUGUUUUCUCUAGGUGAAACUGCUACAAGUUUGCUCAUUUUGGGUUGUUCUGUUAUUGUUUAGCCACUGUUUUGCUGCUUGUGGACUGAUUUUUCUCUCACUUUUGCUCUUUUACUGCAUUUUACAUUUUUAUUAAAUUGAUAAUGAACAAAUGUUAUAUUGGCCAAGAAAUUUUCUGUCGAUUUUUUAGGCCUUCACAAAUAAAAAGACAGAUAUUGCGUAUAUAAAUACAUAAUAAAAUAAAUAUUUCAGGUGAUGAUAAAAUUUUUAUAGCAACACAAAAGUUUUAUGAUUCGUAUCUUGGUAAGACGAUUUAGGACGGCUAAUAAAUUAAGCAACCACUUCGUAGCCAUAGUGUACCUAAAAUCUGAUCCGAGCCCACACUUUUACUAAAAAAAUUUAUUUUUUAUACAUAUAUGCACACACAUCUUCUCAUUUUUUUGAUAAUUAUUUAUUUGUUACUAAUAUUUUUAUUACAAGUGCUUAUACAGGUUAUUGAGAAUAUUUAUCGGAAAUGACAUGCAAAGAAGACUUUAAUUUUUGUGAUUCGUAUUUUUAUAUUAUUACAUUUGUAUAAAUAGCAAUUAUAGUGAAAAAUUUAUUUUUUGGGGUGUUAGGCGGGAAUGCUUUAACUUAUACUACAUUCAUCACGCGCUUAGGCAAAAUUUAGGCUGUUACUAUUUACUUGAAAGAAUUAAAUUAAUUUAGAUAUUUAAUCAAAUAAUUCCUACUUUUUUUUUACAUUAAACAUGGCUUAAUCUUUUUCUGUAAAAUAAAAUUUCGUUAUCUAAUCUUUUCAUUUUUUUCAUA